GGGCCGGUAGCUCAGUACGGCUGGAGCGUUCGACUGAUAAUCGAAAGGUCGGCAGUUCAAAUCCGCCUCGGCCCACCA
rnacentral:tRNA from 1 species